rnacentral:rRNA from 1 species
AUUACUGAACUGUAAACACGAGUUGUUGCUGGUCCUCAAAUCGAGGGCAUGUGCACGCUCUGUUCACACAUCCACUCACACCUGUGCACCCACUGUAGUUCUAUGGUGUGGGGGACUCUGUCCUCCUGCUGUGGUUCUGCAUCUUUACAACACACAACGUAAUAGUCUCAUGGAAUGUACACCGCGUUUAACGCAAUACAAUACAACUUUCAGCAACGGAUCUCUUGGCUCUCGCAUCGAUGAAGAACGCAGCGAAAUGCGAUAAGUAAUGUGAAUUGCAGAAUUCAGUGAAUCAUCGAAUCUUUGAACGCACCUUGCGCCCUUUGGCUAUUCCGAAGGGCAUGCCUGUUUGAGUAUCAUGAACACCUCAACUCUCAUGGUUUGCCGUGAUGAGCUUGGACUUUGGGGGUUUUGCUGGCCUAUGGUCGGCUCUCCUCAAAUGGAUCAGCUUGCCAGUGUUUUGGUGGCGUCGCAGGUGUGAUAACUAUCUACGCUUGUGGACUCCCACCAGGCAACCUUCAUCACUGAAGGUUCGCUGGAGCUUAUAAACGUCUCUCUCAACGAGGACAGCAUUUUGAAGUUUGAUCUCAAAUCAGGUAGGACUACCCGCUGAACUUAAGCAUAUCAAUAAGCGGAGGAAAAGAAACUAACAAGGAUUCCCCUAGUAACUGCGAGUGAAGCGGGAAGAGCUCAAAUUUAAAAUCUGGUGUGCCCCAUGGUCACCCGAGUUGUAGUCUGGAGAAGCGUUUUCCGUAUUGGCCGUGUAUAAGUCUCUUGGAACAGGGCGUCAUAGAGGGUGAGAAUCCCGUCUUUGACACGGACUACCAAUGCUAUGUGAUGCGCUCUCAAAGAGUCGAGUUGUUUGGGAAUGCAGCUCAAAAUGGGUGGUAAAUUCCAUCUAAAGCUAAAUAUAGGCGAGAGACCGAUAGCGAACAAGUACCGUGAGGGAAAGAUGAAAAGCACUUUGGAAAGAGAGUUAAACAGUACGUGAAAUUGCUGAAAGGGAAACGCUUGAAGUCAGUCACAUCUGCCAGGACUCAGCCUUGCUUCUGCUUGGUGUACUUUCUGGUUUGAUGGGCCAACAUCAAUUUUGACCGUUGGAGAAAGGCUUGGGGAAUGUGGCACCUUCUGGUGUGUUAUAGCCCUUCGUUGUAUACAGCGGUUGGGAUUGAGGACUGCAGCACGCCUUUAUGGCCGGGGUUCGCCUACGUACGUGCUUAGGAUGUUGGCAUAAUGGCUUUAAGCGACC